GCAGGGGUACCCAAGUGGUCAAAGGGGCAUGGCUUAGGACCAUGUGCUUAGUGCUUCGCAGGUUCGAAUCCUGUCCCUUGCA
rnacentral:tRNA from 1 species